CAUUAUUGAAAUAAACCUGAUGGAUUGCUGCUGGUUUGUUAAUGAAUAUGUGCACAUCUAUCAUUUUUAUAUCCACCUGUGCACCUUUUGUAGACUCGGAUACAUUUCUUAAUGCUAGCAUUGAGGUUUAAGGAAUUGACUUUGGUCUGUUCUUACAUUUCUGAGUCUAUGGAUAUUUCAUAUACUCUGUGUUGUAGAAUGUAAUAAGCUGGGCCUUUGUUGCCUAUAACAUUAUACAACUUUCAGCAACGGAUCUCUUGGCUCUCGCAUCGAUGAAGAACGCAGCGAAAUGCGAUAAGUAAUGUGAAUUGCAGAAUUCAGUGAAUCAUCGAAUUUUUGAACGCACCUUGCGCUCCUUGGUAUUCCGAGGAGCAUGCCUGUUUGAGUGUCAUUAAUAUUCUCAACCCUUCAGCUUUUUUUUGCUUGUUGAGUGUUGGAUGUGGGGGACUUCUUGCUGGUCUUUUAAGAGGUCAGCUCCCCUAAAAUAUAUUAGCAGAACAAUUUGUUAACCGUUCAUUGGUGUGAUAAUUAUCUACACUAUUGGCGCGAGGCAAGUUCAGCUUCUAAUAGUCUAUUGACUUUUUAUUAAUGUGACCUCAAAUCAGGUAGGACUACCCGCUGAACUUAGGCAUAUCAAUAAGCGGAGGAAAAGAAACUAACAAGGAUUCCCUUAGUAACUGCGAGUGAAGUGGGAAAAGCUCAAAUUUAAAAUCUGUCAGUCUUUGGCUGUCCNAGUUGUAAUCUAGAGAAGUGUUAUCUGCACUGGACCGUGUACAAGUCUCCUGGAAUGGAGCGUCAUAGAGGGUGAGAAUCCCGUCUCUGACACGGACUACCANGGCUUUUGUGAUGCGCUCUCAAAGAGUC
rnacentral:rRNA from 1 species